AUGUAUGUGGCAAAUCGUGCUUCAGAAAAGAUCAGUCAGCUCACAGAUAAUGUCUACGUCUGCCGCUCUGGAUCUGCUGCUGAUAGACAAAUUAUUUUAGAUUAUGUGCGCUAUUUUCUCCACGAACACACGCAACUUGGGCAACCAGCUACCGUGAAAGUAGCAUCCAACUUAGUUAGGUUGCUGGCCUAUCAGAACAAGCAUGUUGCAAGCUGGAUGAUAGUCGGUGGAUGGGAUAAAUAUGAGGGGGGCCAAAUUUACUCGGUCCCUCUUGGUGGAACGAUCUUGAGGCAGCCAUUCACAAUUGGAGGAUCUGGUUCCAGUUACCUAUAUGGGUUGAUGGAUCAUCAAUGGAAAGAGGGUAUGACCCAGGAAGAAGCUGAGCGCGGGGUAAAAAACGCGCUACUGCUAAAAAUUAGCUGUAGCGCCGUAGCAGUAGCGCGGGAACCCAUGCUACUGGAAUCAACCAAAGGUUUCCAUUCUGGUGCAACAAGACCAAGACCGCCAGGACGGCAGGACGGAGGUCACCACCGAGCCUACCGCAGCAUCAUGACCAGCGGCUUUUGUAGGGGAAGACCACUUUAG
rnacentral:rRNA from 1 species